rnacentral:lncRNA from 1 species
CAAACUUUUAGCCCGGUCCCUACAAGGGACCUGGUGAAGGAAGUUUCCCCUGGGGGUGAAAAUGGAGUGAAUCAGCGAAAGGACUUCCGCAGGAGGCAGCGAAGAGGCACAGGCUGGCAAAAGACAAUGACAGAAGGAACAAACGAGAAGUUUUGCGGCCCUUCAAAACCAAAAAAAAUUUGCUCCUGGCCCUAAAGAGAAACAGCUGGCCCACUCAUGUCUAAAGUGUUUGAACACCCAAGAACUGUGAUAAAAAGUGUAGAUGAGCAG